UAGCAUAUCAAUAAGCGGAGGAAAAGAAACCAACCGGGAUUGCCCUAGUAACGGCGAGCGAAGCGGCAAAAGUCCAAAUUUGAAAUCUGGCGUCCUACGGGCGUCCGAGUUGUAAUUUGAAGAUGGUAACUUUGGGUUUGGCUCUUGCAUAAGUUCCUUGGAACAGGACGUCAUAGAGGGUGAGAAUCCCGUUCAUGGUAAGAUGCCCAUUCCUUUGUAAAGUGCCUUCGAAGAGUCGAGUUGUUUGGGAAUGCAGCUCUAAGUGGGUGGUAAAUUCCAUCUAAGACUAAAUAUUGGCGAGAGACCGAUAGCGAACAAGUACAGUGAUGGAAAGAUGAAAAGAACUUUGAAAAGAGAGUGAAAAAGUACGUGAAAUUGUUGAAAGGGAAGGGCUUGAAGUCAGACUUGGUAUUCAGUGAUCAACUGUCUUUCGGGACUGUGCACUCGCUGUUUACUGGGCCAACAUCGGUUUUGGCGGCGAGAUAAAUGCAUUGGAACGUGGCUCUAUCUUCGGAUGGAGUGUUAUAGCCUUUGUAAAUAUCGCCUGCUGGGACCGAGGACUGCGCAUCUGCUAGGAUGUUGGCGUAAUGACUUUAAGCCACCCGUCUUGAAACACGGACCAAGGAGUCUAACGUCUAUGCGAGUGUUUGGGUGUAAAACCCGUACGCGUAAUGAAAGUGAACGUAGAUGAGAACCCCUGAGGGUGCAUCAUCGACCGAUCCUGAUGUUCUCGGAUGGAUUUGAGUAAGAGCAUAGCUGUUGGGACCCGAAAGAUGGUGAACUAUGCCUGAAUAGGGUGAAGCCAGAGGAAACUCUGGUGGAGGCUCGUAGCGAUUCUGACGUGCAAAUCGAUCGUCAAAUUUGGGUAUAGGGGCGAAAGACUAAUCGAACCAUCUAGUAGCUGGUUCCUGCCGA
rnacentral:rRNA from 1 species